rnacentral:lncRNA from 1 species
CGUUUGUAAAGUCCUCGGUGCAGCUUCGUACGCCGUCUCAACGUGCUUCUACCCCUCCUGCAGCUCCACCUCCUGCUACUGCUACUUCUUCCCGUCCUUCUAUCGACAUUUCUGAGGAAGAUGUUUCUGUUUCAUCGGUGUAUCGCGAGCAGCAACGUUUAUCUGAGGAGCUACAAAAGUUGUCUGCAGAACAAGCUGUGAUUCGUAAGGAUGUGAGCAAGAUGAAGCGCUUGUUGAAUAUGAUUUUUGACAUAUUGGGAUGUUGUCGGGCAGAUUUACCUCCAGGAGAUGAUUCUGACUAGGGGUUAUCGAGCUUCUUCUUUUGUCGUUUUGGCGCUUUCUGACAAAAAGGGGGAGAUGGAUGGGAUGGUCUUAAUGAUGAUGAUGAUGCAUUGGUGCAUUCCUGAUGUUUAGUUAGUUAAGAUGUUUAAUGCAUUCCUGAUGUUUAGUUAGUUAAGAUGUUUAAUUAUGAACUAUGAUGCUUUAGGUGUCUGACUUAGUGCUUUCGGUUAGUUUGACUAUGAACUAUGAAGUGUGAACUUUAGUUGAUUGUUUGAUCUUCUUGAUACUUGAAUCUUGAUUAUGUUUUGAGAAUGUUUUUGCAGGAAUAAUUCAAGACUUCAAGACUCCAUGUCUAAGUCAUAGAGUUUGUAUUAAGGUUGUAAAAGUGUAAAUUUUGUUUAUUGGAUUGAUCAUGCAGGAGAUUAUCGUUUGGUGAUUGCGAUGAUCUUCUUUUUAUGACUUAUUGGUUGUAUACAAACUUUGUGUUAUAUUUUGUCACGAAAUCGCCAAAGGGGGAGAUUGUUAAGGAUUUUAUAGGUUGGCGAAUUUCGUAAAGUUGUUUGGAGUCUUGAAGAGUUGAUCGCAGAAGUUUUUGAGAAAAGAUUCAAAUUGGAGGACAAAGACUCAUUCGGAAAGAUCGACACCUAAGGUAUGAAGAAAAGAUCAUUUGUGGUGAAGAUACAUAAUUAGAAUAAGUUCAGAAGGCUUAGAUUGUUUUUAAACAACUUUUCUGAACUUUCUUGUGUUCUGGGACCGGUCUCUGAAAUGGAGAGACCGGUUCCCCCAAGGUCCUCACUGCGUAAACCUUGAUGCAACCGGUCCCCUGUGAUGAGAGACCGGUUCCCGAACCUUGGUGGUUCUGUCGCGCAGCGAGGGACCGGUCUCAAGUUUGAGAGACCGGUUCCCGAACGUGGGGUUUUUGGUCACGCAGGGAGGGACCGGUUCCUCACUUGAGAGACCGGUCUCUCACAGACCGGUCUCCUCGACAGGACCGGUCUCUGAGGACGACACAGGUUUUUGAAAUCGACUUUUUGCAAUCCUAGUCUACUUCUAAGUCUUCUAAACAUAUAAAUAAGCUAUGUGGGUCAUCUAAAAUUAAGGCUUUGAAUAUUUUACCAAUUCCAAACCCUAGAAACUUGUUUUCUUCCCGUUUCAAUGCUUCGAUUUACAUGAUGAGUUUCUAGCAAUCAACAUCGGCUUGAUUCUUCGUUUUUACUCGAUACUUCUUACGAGAAUCAAGUAGAUGAUUGAUUAAAGGUGAACCCUCAUAGCUUAUGGUUUUCAAAAGUUAAAUCACCACAAAUCUUCAAUUCUACAAGCUCCGGAAGGAGGUUCGGCGCGUGGAUCUCGCGUGAAGCCGAGGAUUCGGUGGACGCUUCGAGGAGUUGAGGCGUUGACGCUGCGAGGAGUUGCAGCAAGGUCGAUUGGUGGAUUCCUAUCGAUCGAGGACCGGCAAAGAUCACCGUCAACAAGAAAUCGGUAAAUUGAGUCGUGGGUUUUUGUCGAAAUCACUUGUACUCAAGUUUUCUUAGUGGAUUUUCUUUGCGUAAUCGGUCACGUGGGUUUUUCACUCCGAAUUGGAGUUUUCCCACGUUAAAUUCUCGGUGUGCUGUUUUAAUUUUCGCUAUUUUGUUUGUUUGCAUCGAGAUUUUUCGAGUUUGCCGGAUUUACACCUAUUCACCCCCCUCUAGGUGUUACUUACCUUUUAGAUCCUCGGGAUCCAUAUCUUACACAAUGAAAGGACGUUUGUAAAGUCCUCGGUGCAGCUUCGUACGCCGUCUCAACGUGCUUCUUCCCCUCCUGCAGCUCCACCUCCUGCUACUGCUACUUCUUCCCGUCCUUCUAUGGACAUUUCUGAGGAAGAUAUUUCCGUUUCAUCGGUGUAUCGCGAGCAGCAACGUCUAUCUGAGGAGUUUCAGAAGUUGUCUGCAGAACAAGCUGCGAUUCGUAAGGAUGUGAGCAAGAUGAAGCGCCUGUUGAAUAUAAUUUUUGACAAAUUGGGAUGU